GACGAACGCUGGCGGCGUGCUUAACACAUGCAAGUCGAACGGAAAGGCCCUGCUUUUGUGGGGUGCUCGAGUGGCGAACGGGUGAGUAACACGUGAGUAACCUGCCCUUGACUUUGGGAUAACUUCAGGAAACUGGGGCUAAUACCGGAUAGGAGCUCCUGCUGCAUGGUGGGGGGUGGAAAGUUUCGGCGGUUGGGGAUGGACUCGCGGCUUAUCAGCUUGUUGGUGGGGUAGUGGCUUACCAAGGCUUUGACGGGUAGCCGGCCUGAGAGGGUGACCGGCCACAUUGGGACUGAGAUACGGCCCAGACUCCUACAGGAGGCAGCAGUGGGGAAUAUUGCACAAUGGGCGGAAGCCUGAUGCAGCAACGCCGCGUGCGGGAUGACGGCCUUCGGGUUGUAAACCGCUUUCGCCUGUGACGAAGCGUGAGUGACGGUAAUGGGUAAAGAAGCACCGGCUAACUACGUG
rnacentral:rRNA from 1 species